rnacentral:rRNA from 1 species
AACGUAGGUGGCAAGCGUUGUCCGGAAUUACUGGGUGUAAAGGGAGCGCAGGCGGAAUGGCAAGUUGAAUGUGAAAUCCAGGGGCUCAACCCCUGAACUGCGUUCAAAACUGCUGUUCUUGAGUGAUGUAGAGGCAGGCGGAAUUCCCGGUGUAGCGGUGGAAUGCGUAGAUAUCGGGAGGAACACCAGUGGCGAAGGCGGCCUGCUGGGCAUUAACUGACGCUGAGGCUCGAAAGUAUGGGGAGCAAACAGG